AAGAGUGACAUCACUAACACUGCUAAUGUUUUGUACCUAGACAUAACACCUCUAGCACUCUUA
rnacentral:tRNA from 1 species